GUGUCUCGUCCAGUCCGUAAGGUGUGCCCAGUCCAGGCAAGCACACGAUGGGGGCACAGGAGUCUCUGUCCCAGACUGGUAUUGUACUUAGGGGGCUUCUCAUUGAGGCAAUGACGGCCCAAGGUCGUGGCCACUGAAGCGCGUCCCUGGACGCACCCCUCCCCACUGGGUCCAGGCAGGCGUAUCUCUCCCCCGCCCGCCUGCGGCUUCCACGGAGAACUGGGUUCCGCGCCAGCCCCGGCUCAAGGAGCGCCCGGGCCACUGCCCCGCGGAGAGCGGCUGAAGUCAGGGUUACAACUCACCUUGGAACUGGGGCGCCAGACCUCCCCUAGGCAGGGCGUUCUCCCCCCCACCCGAUGACAUCAUCUGUUUGGGGCUGAGUCGCUCCAUAAAAUCAGCCCUCGGGAAGCCAGGAGCCCAAAGAACAGAGGUGCUGGCCGUGACGCCCGGCUGCGCGCACAAGGUCCGGGUGAGCGCCCCGCCAGCCCCAGCGCCCGAGCCAGAGGGCGAGGAGGAGCUCAGCCGCCCGCAGCCCGCGCUCUCCGCCCGCGCCGGGAGCCGCCCGAAGAUGCCUCUCCGCAGCCUGCACGCGGCGGCCGUGCUCCUGCUCGUGGUCUUAAAGGAACAGCCUUCCAGCCCAGCCCCGCUCAAUGGAUCCAAGUGGACCUAUAUAGUGAAGGUGAAACUGCCCAAGGACAUGCAGGUCCGGGGCCUCGGGGCCCGCUACAAUGCCUCACAGCUGCACCUGCACUGGGGCGACAAGAACGACCCUCAUGGCUCCGAGCACACUGUCGGCGGGAAGCACUUUGCCGCCGAGCUGCAUAUUGUCUAUUACAACUCGGACCGGUACCCCAAUGACAGCGUCGCCAAGGACAAGCCAGAAGGCCUCGCGGUCGUAGCUGUUCUCAUAGAGGUGGGCUCCUCCAAUCCAGCAUAUGACAAGAUCUUCGAUCACCUUAAAGCUGUAAAGUACAAAGACCAAGAAGUGUUCAUUCCGGGUUUCAGCAUAGAAGAGCUGCUGCCAGAAAGGCCUGAAGAGUACUACCGCUACAGGGGGUCCCUGACUACACCUCCCUGCUACCCCACUGUGCUCUGGACGGUGUUCCGGAACCCUGUGCAAAUUUCCCAGGAGCAGCUGAUGAAGUUGGAGACAGACCUGUACUGCACGCACAUGGAUGACCCGUCCCCCAGAGAGAUGGUCAACAACUUUCGGCAGGUCCAGAAGUUUGACGAGAGGCUGGUGUAUGUCUCCUUCCAACAAGGCAUCGUCCUCUCUGUGGCCCUGGCCUGUGGUCUUGGCAUCUGUAUUGUCCUGGCGGUAUCCCUUUGGCUUUUCAGAAGGAGAAAGAGUAGCAAAAAAGGUGAGAACAAAGGAGUCAUCUACAAACCAGCCAUCAAGCAGGAGAUUGAGGCCCAUGCCUGAGGCCCUGGCACGCCCAGGCACAUCCAAGGGAGGACUUGGCUUUGGACGCCAACUGCUGUGGCUCCCUGGACACUUGACAUACC
rnacentral:lncRNA from 1 species